UACGGGGGGGGCAAGCGUUGUUCGGAAUUACUGGGCGUAAAGGGCUCGUAGGCGGCCAACUAAGUCGGACGUGAAAUCCCUCGGCUUAACCGGGGAACUGCGUCCGAUACUGGAUGGCUCGAGUAUGGGAGAGGGAUGCGGAAUUCCAGGUGUAGCGGUGAAAUGCGUAGAUAUCUGGAGGAACACCGGUGGCGAAGGCGGCAUCCUGGACCAUUACUGACGCUGAAUAGCGAAAGCCAGGGGAGCAAACGGG
rnacentral:rRNA from 1 species